GCGAGUAUGUUGGAACUGGUAGACAAGCAUGACUCAAAAUCUUGUGUCUUCGGACGUGUGAGUUCGACUCUCACUACUCGCA
rnacentral:tRNA from 1 species